rnacentral:rRNA from 1 species
UAAUUUGAGAGUUUGAUCCUGGCUCAGAACGAACGCUGGCGGCGUGGUUUAGGCAUGCAAGUCGAACGGUUUUUGCUUGGUUUUGAUUCUUCGGAUGAAGAACCGGGCGCUAAAUAGUGGCGUAAGGGUGAGUAACACGUGAGUAAUUUACCUCCGCGUUGGGGAUAACCUGCCGAAAGGCGGACUAAUACCGAAUAAUAUCUUUUUCUCGCAUGAGAUUUAGAUCAAAGAUGGCCUCUCCUUGGAAGCUAUCGCGUGAUGAUAAGCUCGCGGCCUAUUAGCUUGUUGGUGGGGUAAUGGCCCACCAAGGCUACAAUGGGUAGCCGGCCUGAGAGGGUGACCGGUCACACUGGGACUGAGACACUGCCCAGACUCCUACGGGAGGCUGCAGAUAGGAAUCUUCCACAAUGGGCGAGAGCCUGAUGGAGCAAUGCUGCGUGAACGAUGAAUCCCUUCGGGGUGUAAAGUUCUUUUCUGUGGGAAGACAUCCGACGGUACCACAGGAAUAAGCGACGGCUAAUAUCGUGCCAGCAGCCGCGGUUAUACGGUAGUCGCAAGCGUUAUCCGGAAUUAUUGGGCGUAAAGCGUUCGUAGGCGUCCUUUCAAGUUUUUGGUAAAAUACCUAGGCUCAACCUAGGAAUUGCCAAGAAAACUGUUAGGAUUGAGGAUAGGAGAGGAGAGCGGAAUUCUCGGUGUAGGGAUAAAAUCCAUAGAUAUCGAGGAGAACGCCAAAGGUGAAGACAGCUCUCUGGCCUAUUCCUGACGCUGAGGGACGAAAGCGUGGGUAGCGAACAGAUUAGAUACCCUGGUAGUCCACGCCGUAACGAUGGAUACUAGAUAUUGGGAGGUCUACCCCUCUUCAGUAUCGAAGCUAACGCGUAAGUAUCCCGCCUGGGGAGUACGCGCAGCUAAACUAAAGAUGACGGGACCCGCACAGCGGUGGAGCAUGUGGUUUAUCGACAUAGCGAGACUACGAGCUGACAUCUUCGACCUGAAAUCAGGGUGCCUUGGACGAAUACC